AGGCUAGGAGGGCUAUGAUAUCUGCCAGAUCCCUAACUGCCAGGGUAGAUUCAGGUAAUCUGAGUAUGUGGCUGUCACCUUCGACUCCACUCUAAGUGUGACCUUCCUGAAGCUACCUACUCAGAUGAAGGGAGAUCAACAUCCCAGAUUGGGUAACCUCACAUCAGGUGAUUCUGAGACAAACCAAAGUCAGAAAAUCACUGAUUUACAGAAGAAUGCGAUUAUCCAACAUGCAGGUAGACAGAAUAUCUGAAAUUUACCAAUGUGUAGCUUG
rnacentral:sRNA from 1 species